GCUCCCAUAGUUUAAUGGAUAGAAUACGGCCCUCCGAAGGCUGCGAUCCAGGUUCGAUUCCUGGUGGGAGCA
rnacentral:tRNA from 1 species